GAGGAUAAAGUCCCUUGGGAUGUAAACUCCUUUCUACCCGGCCAAUAAUGACGGUAGCCCNGGAAGAAGCCCCGGCUAACUUUGUGCCAGCACACGCGGUAAUACGAGGGGGGCGAGCGUUGUUCUGAAUUAUUGGGCGUAAAAGGCGCGUAGGCGGUGCGUUAAGUCUCCUGUGAAACCUCUNGGCUCAACCUAGAACCUGCACUUGAAACUGUCGUGCUCGAGUGUGGGAGAGAUGCGUGGAAUUCCCGGUGUAUCGGUGAAAUGCGUAGAUAUCUGGACGAACACCUGUGGCGAAAGCGGCGCUCUGGACCACAACUGACGCUGAGACGCGAAAGCUAGGGGAGCAAACACGAUUAGAUAUCCCGGUAGUCCUACCCCUAAACGAUGGAUGCUUGGUGUGUCGGGUACCCAAUCCCUACGUGCCGAAGCUAACCGCAUAAGCAUCCCGCCUG
rnacentral:rRNA from 1 species